AUUUGAAUACCUUAAAAUUAAAGGUUAAUAUUGAAGAUAUUAUCAUGGGUUAAAAUUAACUCUUCAAAUA
rnacentral:tRNA from 1 species